rnacentral:rRNA from 1 species
GACGAACGCUGGCGGCGUGCUUAACACAUGCAAGUCGAACGGAAAGGCCCUGCUUUUGUGGGGUGCUCGAGUGGCGAACGGGUGGGUAACACGUGAGUAACCUGCCCUUGACUUUGGGAUAACUUCAGGAAACUGGGGCUAAUACCGGAUAGGAGCUCCUGCUGCAUGGUGGGGGUUGGAAAGUUUCGGCGGUUGGGGAUGGACUCGCGGCUUAUCAGCUUGUUGGUGGGGUAGUGGCUUACCAAGGCUUUGACGGGUAGCCGGCCUGAGAGGGUGACCGGCCACAUUGGGACUGAGAUACGGCCCAAACUCCUACGGGAGGCAGCAGUGGGGAAUAUUGCACAAUGGGCGGAAGCCUGAUGCAGCAACGCCGCGUGCGGGAUGACGGCCUUCGGGUUGUAAACCGCUUUCGCCUGUGACGAAGCGUGAGUGACGGUAAUGGGUAAAGAAGCACCGGCUAACUACGUG